GGGUUGUGAGGUUAAGCGACUAAGCGUACACGGUGGAUGCCCUGGCAGUCAGAGGCGAUGAAGGACGUGCUAAUCUGCGAUAAGCGUCGGUAAGGUGAUAUGAACCGUUAUAACCGGCGAUUUCCGAAUGGGGAAACCCAGUGUGAUUCGUCACACUAUCAUUAACUGAAUCCAUAGGUUAAUGAGGCGAACCGGGGGAACUGAAACAUCUAAGUACCCCGAGGAAAAGAAAUCAACCGAGAUUCCCCCAGUAGCGGCGAGCGAACGGGGAGCAGCCCAGAGCCUGAAUCAGUGUGUGUGUUAGUGGAAGCGUCUGGAAAGGCGCGCGAUACAGGGUGACAGCCCCGUACACAAAAAUGCACAUGCUGUGAGCUCGAUGAGUAGGGCGGGACACGUGGUAUCCUGUCUGAAUAUGGGGGGACCAUCCUCCAAGGCUAAAUACUCCUGACUGACCGAUAGUGAACCAGUACCGUGAGGGAAAGGCGAAAAGAACCCCGGCGAGGGGAGUGAAAAAGAACCUGAAACCGUGUACGUACAAGCAGUGGGAGCACGCUUAGGCGUGUGACUGCGUACCUUUUGUAUAAUGGGUCAGCGACUUAUAUUCUGUAGCAAGGUUAACCGAAUAGGGGAGCCGAAGGGAAACCGAGUCUUAACUGGGCGUUAAGUUGCAGGGUAUAGACCCGAAACCCGGUGAUCUAGCCAUGGGCAGGUUGAAGGUUGGGUAACACUAACUGGAGGACCGAACCGACUAAUGUUGAAAAAUUAGCGGAUGACUUGUGGCUGGGGGUGAAAGGCCAAUCAAACCGGGAGAUAGCUGGUUCUCCCCGAAAGCUAUUUAGGUAGCGCCUCGUGAAUUCAUCUCCGGGGGUAGAGCACUGUUUCGGCAAGGGGGUCAUCCCGACUUACCAACCCGAUGCAAACUGCGAAUACCGGAGAAUGUUAUCACGGGAGACACACGGCGGGUGCUAACGUCCGUCGUGAAGAGGGAAACAACCCAGACCGCCAGCUAAGGUCCCAAAGUCAUGGUUAAGUGGGAAACGAUGUGGGAAGGCCCAGACAGCCAGGAUGUUGGCUUAGAAGCAGCCAUCAUUUAAAGAAAGCGUAAUAGCUCACUGGUCGAGUCGGCCUGCGCGGAAGAUGUAACGGGGCUAAACCAUGCACCGAAGCUGCGGCAGCGACGCUUAUGCGUUGUUGGGUAGGGGAGCGUUCUGUAAGCCUGUGAAGGUGUGCUGUGAGGCAUGCUGGAGGUAUCAGAAGUGCGAAUGCUGACAUAAGUAACGAUAAAGCGGGUGAAAAGCCCGCUCGCCGGAAGACCAAGGGUUCCUGUCCAACGUUAAUCGGGGCAGGGUGAGUCGACCCCUAAGGCGAGGCCGAAAGGCGUAGUCGAUGGGAAACAGGUUAAUAUUCCUGUACUUGGUGUUACUGCGAAGGGGGGACGGAGAAGGCUAUGUUGGCCGGGCGACGGUUGUCCCGGUUUAAGCGUGUAGGCUGGUUUUCCAGGCAAAUCCGGAAAAUCAAGGCUGAGGCGUGAUGACGAGGCACUACGGUGCUGAAGCAACAAAUGCCCUGCUUCCAGGAAAAGCCUCUAAGCAUCAGGUAACAUCAAAUCGUACCCCAAACCGACACAGGUGGUCAGGUAGAGAAUACCAAGGCGCUUGAGAGAACUCGGGUGAAGGAACUAGGCAAAAUGGUGCCGUAACUUCGGGAGAAGGCACGCUGAUAUGUAGGUGAAGUCCCUCGCGGAUGGAGCUGAAAUCAGUCGAAGAUACCAGCUGGCUGCAACUGUUUAUUAAAAACACAGCACUGUGCAAACACGAAAGUGGACGUAUACGGUGUGACGCCUGCCCGGUGCCGGAAGGUUAAUUGAUGGGGUCAGCGCAAGCGAAGCUCUUGAUCGAAGCCCCGGUAAACGGCGGCCGUAACUAUAACGGUCCUAAGGUAGCGAAAUUCCUUGUCGGGUAAGUUCCGACCUGCACGAAUGGCGUAAUGAUGGCCAGGCUGUCUCCACCCGAGACUCAGUGAAAUUGAACUCGCUGUGAAGAUGCAGUGUACCCGCGGCAAGACGGAAAGACCCCGUGAACCUUUACUAUAGCUUGACACUGAACAUUGAGCCUUGAUGUGUAGGAUAGGUGGGAGGCUUAGAAGUGUGGACGCCAGUCUGCAUGGAGCCGACCUUGAAAUACCACCCUUUAAUGUUUGAUGUUCUAACGUUGACCCGUAAUCCGGGUUGCGGACAGUGUCUGGUGGGUAGUUUGACUGGGGCGGUCUCCUCCUAAAGAGUAACGGAGGAGCACGAAGGUUGGCUAAUCCUGGUCGGACAUCAGGAGGUUAGUGCAAUGGCAUAAGCCAGCUUGACUGCGAGCGUGACGGCGCGAGCAGGUGCGAAAGCAGGUCAUAGUGAUCCGGUGGUUCUGAAUGGAAGGGCCAUCGCUCAACGGAUAAAAGGUACUCCGGGGAUAACAGGCUGAUACCGCCCAAGAGUUCAUAUCGACGGCGGUGUUUGGCACCUCGAUGUCGGCUCAUCACAUCCUGGGGCUGAAGUAGGUCCCAAGGGUAUGGCUGUUCGCCAUUUAAAGUGGUACGCGAGCUGGGUUUAGAACGUCGUGAGACAGUUCGGUCCCUAUCUGCCGUGGGCGCUGGAGAACUGAGGGGGCUGCUCCUAGUACGAGAGGACCGGAGUGGACGCAUCACUGGUGUUCGGGUUGUCAUGCCAAUGGCACUGCCCGGUAGCUAAAUGCGGAAGAGAUAAGUGCUGAAAGCAUCUAAGCACGAAACUUGCCCCGAGAUGAGUUCUCCCUGACUCCUUGAGAGUCCUGAAGGAACGUUGAAGACGACGACGUUGAUAGGCCGGGUGUGUAAGCGCAGCGAUGCGUUGAGCUAACCGGUACUAAUGAACCGUGAGGCUUAACCUUACAACGCCGAAGCUGUU
rnacentral:rRNA from 1 species